UAAAUACUCCCUCCGUCCGAAAAUACUUGUCAUAAGAAUGGAUGCAUCUAGAUGUAUUCUAAUUUUAGAUACAUUCAGAUUUAUCCAUUUCUCCGACAAGUAUUUCCGGACGGAGGGAGUAGAAG
rfam:Triticum aestivum genome assembly, contig: Triticum_aestivum_CS42_TGACv1_scaffold_405889_5BL